rnacentral:rRNA from 1 species
AACGUAGGAGACAAACGUUAUCCGGAGUUACUGGGCGUAAAGAGCUCGUAGGCGGCUUGUCACGUCGGGUGUGAAAGCCCGGGGCUUAACCCCGGGUCUGCAUUCGAUACGGGCUAGCUAGAGUGUGGUAGGGGAGAUCGGAAUUCCUGGUGUAGCGGUGAAAUGCGCAGAUAUCAGGAGGAACACCGGUGGCGAAGGCGGAUCUCUGGGCCAUUACUGACGCUGAGGAGCGAAAGCGUGGGGAGCGAACAGG